UACGGAGGGGGCAAGCGUUAUUCGGAAUUAUUGGGCGUAAAGGGCGCGUAGGCGGCUUGGUAAGUCAAAGGUGAAAUCCCUCGGCUCAACUGAGGAAUUGCCUUUGAAACUGCCAGGCUUGAGGCCGGGAGGGGGUAGCGGAAUUCCCAGUGUAGCGGUGAAAUGCGUAGAUACUGGGAGGAACACCAGUGGCGAAGGCGGCUACCUGGACCGGAACUGACGCUGAUGCGCGAAAGCGUGGGGAGCAAACAGG
rnacentral:rRNA from 1 species